rnacentral:tRNA from 1 species
AAAAAGAUAAGCUAAAAAUAAGCUUUUGGACUCAUACUCCAACGAUAGUAUCCUACUUCUUUUUA